CGACUAUUACACAGAUGUUUAAGGGAAGAAACUGAAGGCAACAUAUCCCAUUAGUUACCUGACGAUUUGCAUGGAAAUGGCCGAUGGAAGCCUCCAAUUUCAUAAAUAGCUCAUUGAUUGAAACUAAGAAUGAGGGCAGUGAUCUCUCCAAAUCCUUAACUAAAUCCUAUCCAACUCUGUCGACCUCCAUAUAUACCUUUGUCAAUUUUCAAACAAAUGAAAGAUAAUAAAUCCAGCGGACAUAAAUAUUUUUUACGUCAUAUCACUUGUUGAUCAAUGCAGUUAGGGCAGGUCAGGAACAUAUUUCAUUUCCAUGAUCCCUCAUCGUAUACACGUCUCUUGGGCUUCCAUUAUUGAGACUAGAACUUGCUAUCUCAACAGAAAGAUCAUUUUAUGAUUCGGACCAAUUUUGAAAAUCUUGAACUGAUUAUUCAUCAACUCUAUCAUCCUCCUCACAACUAUACAAACGUAAAAGUGAAGACAAACUUACUGUAUAUCUCUAAAUUAUAGUAAUGAAUAGAAAUUGACAGACAAGCAUUUAAGUAGGUAAAAGAGAGAUGGUAAAAAAAAAAAAAACAAAACAAAACAAAACAAAACAAAACAGAAAACAAAAACAAAAGCUAGUGGUUAACAUCACAUAAGUGGUCAAUCUACCUUUCUCUAUAGUGCGCUGCAUCUAGCAAAUAAUUUAAUCCGAACCUCAAUUUCUUUAUUAUAAAAAUUAAACCAAUAGCAAACAUUUUUCUCUCGAUCAAUCUGUUCCAGGUUAGGCCCCACCCUUGCCCUUUCUAAUAUUCGAUCGAUCGGUGGAGGGAUAGAUUGGGUAGAGAGAUAAAGAAAGGUAGAUUAGGUAAAUCUGUUCCUCUCGAGAUUUUGUUCUUAAGCGGUUUAGCAAAAACAAUAAUGCGAGAAACUUUGUUUUGCCUUGUCUAAGCUAUUCAAGAAAUGCAAGAAAGAAUGUUUAGUAUUUCCCAUUGCUUCGGCUUAUUGUGCUUUAUGAAACUUCCUCAGGCAGUUGAAAAUAACUCACAUGAUCAUCCAUUAGAGGAGAUCAGUGCUAUAUAUUUUCCUCUAAGUAGUUCUAUUCACUUUGAACAAUACAUCAUAGCCAUUAUGCAAAUAAGCCAGAAGGACACGCACACCCCUAAAACAUCUACCACAUUUUAUCUUCUUAAUCAUCCAACACACUUUGAAAUCAUCCUUUUGGAUUCCCUUAUCGAGCUUCAAUUUUGGGAAUCCCACCACAUUUCAAAAGCCACCAAAUUUAAAUCUUUUCUUUCUACAACCACUUACCAAUAUUUUUUCAUCUCACUUCAUAUAUAUUUAUAUAAUUACAUACCUAUGUCAAUCAAUACUAAGCAAAUGCACCCACGCAAGUAAAAAAAGCAACAUGAAGGCCUCUUUGAGAUAAGGAAACAUUCAAACAUAGAAAAAUCAACAGCAAGAAAAAAUAAACCCCCAAUUUAAAGUAAUGUAAUGAACCCACAAUCAAAAUCAGGCAAAACAAACAAAUUAAAGUAAAAACAAAAUCUAAGCAUGCACCCCCCCCCCUCACAUCGAUCGAAUAUUAGAAAGCGCAGUAGUGGGACCUAACCUAGAACAGAUUGAUUGAGAGAAAAAUGUUUGCUAUCGAUUCAAUUUUUAGAAUAAAGAAAUUGAUGUUCGUAUUAAAUUAUUUCCUAGAUGCAGCGCUCUAUAGAGAAAGGUAGAUUGGGUAGAGAGAUAGAGAAAGAGAACUCGUUCGAGGCUGAAAAAUGAAGCUGAAUCAAGAUUAGGGUUUUUUUUUCUUUCCCUUUUCCUUUUUCGAUUUUCCAUCUUUUCUUUCCUCUUUUUCUCGUGGGUUUUCGCGUCCUGUGUGAAAGAAAUGAAUUCGUGUAAUAAGAAAGUAGAAACAACGAAUGUCCACGCAUUACGUCAGAGAUUUAAUCUGCUGUAGUUUUAAUUCUUCCAUCGUAUGUAUCCGAUUGUACAUUUUGAAGUUACUAUGCUCUUUUUUUCGUGGU
rnacentral:lncRNA from 1 species